rnacentral:rRNA from 1 species
AUUGAACGCUGGCGGCAGGCCUAACACAUGCAAGUCGAACGAUUGGCGGACGGGUGAGUAAUGUCUGGGAAACUGCCUGAUGGAGGGGGAAAACUACUGGAAACGUUAGCUAAUCCCGCAUACCAUCGGAUGUGCCCAGAUGGGAUUAGCUUGUGGGGGGGGGAAAGGCUAACCUGGGCGACGAUCCCUAGCUGGUCUGAGAGGAUGACCGGCCACACUGGAACGGGGCAACGGUCAGAACUCCUACGGGAGGAAGCAGUGGGGAAUAUUGCACAAUGGGCGAAAGCCUGAUGCAGCAAUGCCGGGUGUAUGAAGAAGGCCUUCGGGUUGUAAAGUACUUUCAUCGGGGAGGCGUUACCCGCAGAAGAAGCACCGGCUAACUCCGUGCCAGCAGCCGCGGUAAUUC